rnacentral:tRNA from 1 species
GCCCUCGUAGCUCAAUGGAUAGAGCGCUUGGCUUCGAACCAAGAGGUUGGGGGUUCGAUCCCCUCCGAGGGUACCC